UUAAAAGCGCAGAUGGAAACUAGUAUCCCAACAAUGUAGUUAGAGAGUCAUUAUCUUAGCUGUAAUUAAUGACCUACACAAUGGGAGAAUUUCAUUUCCGGAGCCGAUAUGUAAUGAUAUUCCGGUCAAUCGCCGUUAUCGAUUUUAAGUGUGCAAUUUUAAUUGCAAACUAGGGUGGUACCGCGAAGCCUCGUCCCUAUU
rnacentral:ncRNA from 1 species